rnacentral:rRNA from 1 species
GACGAACGCUGGCGGCGUGCUUAACACAUGCAAGUCGAACGGAAAGGCCCUGCUUUUGUGGGGUGCUCGAGUGGCGAACGGGUGAGUAACACGUGAGUAACCUGCCCUUGACUUUGGGAUAACUUCAGGAAACUGGGGCUAAUACCGGAUAGGAGCUCCUGCUGCAUGGUGGGGGUUGGAAAGUUUCGGCGGUUGGGGAUGGACUCGCGGCUUAUCAGCUUGUUGGUGGGGUAGUGGCUUACCAAGGCUUUGACGGGUAGCCGGCCUGAGAGGGUGACCGGCCACAUUGGGACUGGGGUACGGCCCAGACUCCUACGGGAGGGAGCAGUGGGGAAUAUUGCACAAUGGGCGGAAGCCUGAUGCAGCAACGCCGCGUGCGGGAUGACGGCCUUCGGGUUGUAAACCGCUUUCGCCUGGGACGAAGCGUUAGUGACGGUAAUGGGUAAAGAAGCACCGGCUAACUACGUG